rnacentral:rRNA from 1 species
GACGAACGCUGGCGGCGUGCUUAACACAUGCAAGUCGAACGGAAAGGCCCUUCGGGGUACUCGAGUGGCGAACGGGUGAGUAACACGUGGGUGAUCUGCCCUGCACUUUGGGAUAAGCCUGGGAAACUGGGUCUAAUACCGGAUAGGACUACGCGAUGCAUGUCGUGUGGUGGAAAGCUUUUGCGGUGUGGGAUGGGCCCGCGGCCUAUCAGCUUGUUGGUGAGGUUAUGGCUUACCAAGGCGACGACGGGUAGCCGGCCUGAGAGGGUGACCGGCCACACUGGGACUGGGAUGCGGCCCAGACGCCUACGGGAGGCAGCAGUGGGCAAUAUUGCACAAUGGGCGCAAGCCUGAUGCAGCGACGCCGCGUGAGGGAUGACGGCCUUCGGGUUGUAAACCUCUUUCAGCAGGGACGAAGCGCAAGUGACGGUACCUGUAGAAGAAGGACCGGCCAACUACGUGCCAGCCGCCGCCGUAA